CUGUACCAGGCAAAGGUUUCCACCGCAUUCCGCCCAGCCAGGCCACGAUAAGGCUGCCCUGGGAGCCGUGCCUGCCGACGCUGCCCUGCCACCCCGCUGUCCCUGCAGGGACCAGGUUCACCAGGCUCCUCCUUCCAUCCUGCCGGGGUGCUGCUUCCUGCCGCUCUUUUUACCUGACCAGGUAAAAAGUUUAUUUCUAAAGUCGAGCUGUCGCCUGCCCCUGGCAGUGCCAUCCCCCGGCGGCGGGCCGUCGUGCAGUCGGGUCCUUGCGGGGGCUCCCGUCCGAUGACUGUCGAUCAGUGCGUCCGUGAACAUCUUUGAGCGUAAAGCUUUGCGUCUGUAUUUAGAGUGACGUCCCUCAGAGAAAGUCUGAUGAGCGCAAGCAGUAGAGAAAAGGCUCUGGGGGGGGGACCCCUGCCUGCCACAGACAGACGCCGCAUUUCCCCACCCGCGGGCACACCUGAGCCUUCUGUUUUUCUUCACCUUUGUUGAUUGGAAUGACAAAAAAAUGAUACCUCAUGGCUUAUUUCUUUGUGAAAGUAAUAAACAGGUCUUCCCACCAUCCGUAGAGCCCCCCUAU
rnacentral:lncRNA from 1 species